AGGAGACAAGCAUAGAAGGAUAAAGUCAUACCUAUUCCCAUGGCAGUAUAUGACACAAGGAAGAGCAGUACUUUCUGGUACAAAAGAGGGAACAUAGUGACUGCACUGCAAGGUGUGACCACGUCCAUUUGUAAGCUGCCAGUCUAGGCGUUUGUAUUUUCUGCCUGCAAGAGUGAAUUCUGAUUCCCAUAGGUAUUGAUCUGGAUUAUACUCCGCCCUAUUUAGCAUUGUACCAGAAAAUGCAAAAAAAUAAA